rnacentral:lncRNA from 10 species
GGUUCUGCUCCCAGUCUAGCUUUGGAACCACUUCUAGGAACGUUUCUUGCUGAGUCAGCUUGUCAUACAGAUCCUGGUCUACAUUUUGAACUUUACUUUUGAGGGGAAAACCUAAGCUAGGGCCUGGUUCUGGUCCCGUUCUAGCAUUGGAACCACUUCUAGGAACGUUUCUUGCUGAGUCAGCUUGUCAUACAGAUCCUGAUCUACAUUUUGAACCUACUUUUGAGGUGAAAAGCUUAGCUAGGACCUGGUUCUGGUCCCAGUCUAGCGUUGGAACCACUUCUAGGAACGUUUCUUGCUGAGUCAGCUUGUCAUACAGAUCCUGGUCCACAUUUUGAACCUUACUUUUGAGGUGAAAAGUGAAAGGCAAUGGAAGGGUGCCGCGGACAAAAAGGGUCGAGAGGCAGGGCAAAGAAGGCAAAAUUCCUUUAUUAAGCUCUUGGACGAGGUUCACUGGUCCGCAGGGGAGGGCCGGGGAAGUCGCACUGUGUUGGAGGUGCAGCAGGCUUAUAUGGACACUAGGUGAGUUAGGGGCGGAUUCGGGGUGGGGCAAGGGCGGAGUUAGUUAGGUUUUAUUUUCCUGAGUGUGACACGCCUUAGCGGGCUCACGUUCUUGCCGGGAUGGCGGGAACGGGGGGAAGAUGAACCCGCUAAUGCUGAGUCAGGGUGGCCAAGAUGGUUGCCUGUCGCCAUCUUGGGGCCUUCACCGGAGUCCAAACAAAAAGCUAAGCUAGGGCCUGGUUCUGGUCCCUGUCUAGCAUUGGAACCACUUCUAGGAACGUUUCUUGCUGAGUCAGCUUGUCAUACAGAUCCUGGUCUACAUUUUCAACCUACUUUUGAGGUGAAAAGCUAAGCUAGGGCCUGGUUCUGGUCCUAGUCUUGCAUUGGAACCACUUCUAGGAACGUUUCUUGCUGAGUCAGCUUGUCAUACAGAUCCUGAUGUGCAGCAGCAAAUUGCUCUGGCUCCGGGGGCAGGUCUCCAGCUGAAUGUGUGCCUACGAAUGGAAUCAAAGUCUCAUCAAAAUCUCAGUCAGUUCCUGAGGCAGAAGAGAUGGGUGUGUCUUAUCCAAGAUUUCUCUGGCUCCAGGGGCAGGUCUCCAGCUGAAUCUGUGCCUACAAAUGGAAUCAAAGUCUCAUCAAAGUCUCAGUCAGUUCCUGAGGCAGAAGAGAUGGGUGUGUCUUAUCCAAGAUUUCUCUGGCUCCAGGGGCAGGUCUCCAGCUGAAUCUGUGCCUACGAAUGCAAUCAAAGUCUCAUCAAAGUCUCAGUUCCUGAGGCAGAAGAGAUGGGUGUGUCUUAUCCAAGAUUUCUCUGGCUCCAGGGGCAGGUCUCCAAUGCAAACAAAGUCUCAUCAAAGUCUCAGUUCCUGAGGCAGAAGAGAUGGGUGUGUCUUAUCCAAGAUUUCUCUGGCUCCAGGGGCAGGUCUCCAGCUGAAUCUGUGCCUACAAAUGGAAUCAAAGUCUCAUCAAAGUCUCAGUCAGUUCCUGAGGCAGAAGAGGUGGGUGUGUCUUAUCCAAGAUUUCUCUUAUGGAACAAAGUUACAUCAAAGCCAAUUUAAAAGCCUAUGUAAAAAAAAUUAUUAUUAUUGAUGCAAUGUAUACAAAUAUAUAGACCAAUAUAAUAAGUUUACUAUUCCUACCAUGAUUUGUCUUUAGUAAAAUGGGAAACUGGAGAAAAACUUAUGUUUCCAAAUGAUUAUAUAUCUGUGUUAGAUUCUAGUCUUGCCUAAUUUUUUUUCAAUUUGGAUUACUUUCUACAGUUUGGACCAAAUUCUAAUUUUUUUUUAUUACAAGUCUCCAAAAUAAUUUUUAAAUUUUUUUUUCCUUCUUUUUUCCAUUUUUCCUAAUUUGGAGUCACUGAAAACUAAGCUGUGCUUUCUUAAAAUCCUGUGAACUGAAGCCAGACAACUUAAACUUCAGAAGAAAAUAACAGCAACCUAUUUACAUACAUAAACCACUUUCAUACCUGCCUACUGAUGCAUAGACUUCAGAGUAAUGAGGCCUAUAUCAAAUGUUUCCCGGAUUGUUCUUUUGUUUGUUGUUGUUUUCUCUCUCUUCCUCCCACUAUUUUCUCUUCGCAGGACAUGAGACUUAACAACCUGCUAAAAAUGAGCUUUUGGGACCUACCCAUCAAGGAAUAAACUGUCCUCGCCAUGAGAGAUCAAAUGAAACCUGAGACCAGAGACUCAUUUUCUUGUAAAAUGCUUUCUCCAACAGAUUUUUAAAAAGAAAAGGGGGGAAAUGUGAAAGGAAAAUAUCUGUGGUCCCCAAAAUCACGAAGGAAAACUCAAGCCGGGAACUGCUUAGGGCAAACCUGCCUCCCAUUCUAUUCAAAGUCACUCCUUUGCCCAAUCAGAUAGAUGCUUAUCUGAUUUGCCUCCUUUGGAAAGGCUGAUCAGAAACUCAAAAGAAUGGAACCAUUUGUGUAACAGCCAUCUGUGACCUGGAAGCUUCCUUCCCACUUCAGUCUUCCUGCCUUUGCUUCAAGUUGUCCUGUCUUUCCAGAUGAAGCAAUGUACUUCUUAACAUAUAUUGACUGAUGUCUCAUGAUGUCUCCCUAAAUGUAUGAAACCAAGCUGUGCCUGACAACCUUGGACAUAUUUUGUCAAGACUUCCCUGAGGCUGUCAUUGGUGCAUCCUCAACCUUGGCAAAAUAAACUUUCUAAAUUAACUGAGACCUGUCUCAAGUUUAGGGGGUUCACAGUGGGGGGGGCAAUUCAGUCUGGGAGAGAAGGCUUUAAUCCGAGUGAAGAGCCCUUUGCACUACUAGCCUGCGAGGAGGCUGAACUGUCUUCCUGCCUUGACUUAACACAGCCGUUACCAUAGAAAUUACAGCGCCACUCUUCAGAGGUCUACCCUGUGUGCACACAUGGACAAGAGGUUUAGGUUGUUAAAGUCAGCAUAUUAAACAAUUUCCUGAAAUGCGGCUGUAACUAGAACCCAGCUGACUUCCCCCACUGCCAUUCUUACCUAUUUUAUUGCUCAUUGUCUGGCACAAUCAAUAGCAUGUGAACGCCAAGCAGGUGCUUCAUCUUAUUCCAGUGCCUAGAAUAGGCAUAUGUUGCAGAUUAAUGGUUUUAAAUGGAAGGGAUUCCAAGACUCACUUCAUCAAGGGGUAGAUCUACUGUUAUAAUCAGAUUUCUGAAAUCAGUGCUGACUUCCUCUCACAUUUCAUGGGAAGCUAGAUUUCUUAAAGGUUAAAGUUUCCUUGAUGGGUUUUAUUUAAAUUGAAUUAAAAUAAUUAUUUUACAGAGAAAAACCUCGAAACACUUUGCAACUUUGGGGUGAAAGUUAAAUAAAACAUGCUAGCCCCAAAUUAAGUUCCCACUGAAAUGAAUGUUUUAAAAAAAAUUCUGGCCGGGCAUGGUGGCUCACUCCUGCAAUCCUAGCACUUUGGGAGACUGAGGUGGGCAGAUCACAUGAGGUCAGGAGUUUGAGACCAGCCUGGCUAACAUGAUGAAACCCCGUUUCUACUAAAAAUACAAAAAAUUAGCUGGGUGGAUAUUGCGGGAACCAGCCCCCAAUAUUUCAACGUAGGUUCUUUUCUAUUUUCCCUAAGUGUCAGCCGGUCUGAGAAAUAAAGGGAAGGAGUACAAAAGAGAGAAAUUUUAAAGCUGGAUGUCCGGGGGAGACAUCACAUGUCGGCGGGUUCUGUGAUGCCGCCCAAGCUGCAAAACCAGCGAGUUUUUAUUAUGGAUUUCAAAAGGGAGGGAGUGUAUGAAUAGGGUGUGGGUCACAGAAAUCACAUGCUUCACAAGGCAAUAAGAUAUCACAAGGCAAAUGGGGGCAGAGCAAGAUCACAGGACCAGGGUGAAAUUAAAAUUGCUAAUGAAGUUUCAUGUCCCACUGGGCACACAUUGUCAUUGAUAACAUCUUAUCAGGAGACAGCGUUUGAGAGCAGACAACUAGUCUGACUAAAAUUUAGUAGGCAGGAAUUUCCUUAUCCUAAUAGGCCUGGGGGUGCUAGGGGAGACCGGGGCAUAUUUCAUCCCUUAUCACAACUGUAUAAGACAGACAUUCCCAGAGCGGCCAUUUUAGAGACCUCCCCCUAGGAAUGCAUUCUCUUUUCUCAGGGCUGUUCCUUGCUGAGAAAAAGAAUUCAGCAAUAUUUCUCUUAUUUGCUUUUGUAAGAAGAGAAAUAUGACUCUGUUCCGCCUGGCUCCCAGGCAGUCAGAUCUAAUGGUUAUCUCCCUUGUUCCCUGAACAUCGCUGUUAUCCUGUUCUUUCUUCAAGGUACUCAGACUUCAUAUUGUUUAAAUGCACAUGCUUUACGAACAAUUUAUGCAGUUAACGAAACCAUCACAGGGUCCUGAGGCGACAGGCAUCCUCAACUUAUGAAGAUGAUGGGAUUAAGAGAUUAAAGACAGGCACAGGAAAUCACAAGAGUAUUGAUUGGGGGAGUGAUAAAUGUCCAUGAAGUUUUCACAAUUUAUGUUCAGAGACUGUAGUAAAGACAGGCAUAAGAAAUUGUAAAAGU